AUGAAACAAUUCAAAAUCCCUACCUACUUCCAAUCCUUCCUAAAUCAUUCCCAAAUUGCGAUAUCAUCUUCUCCUUCUCAAUUUCGACUCCCUGGUAGUGUUUCGGUGCUGAUUAGAUGGUGUCAAGUGUUGCAGAGUGUUGGGUACUGGUUCGGAUGGUUUGAGGUUUAUGAUACAUAUGGCACAACUAUCAGGAAACUGAUAUCAAGAGGUCUUGGCGCAUAUACUGCAAAUCUGUCUUGCUGGGACAGUGCAGUAUUCUUGCAAUUGAGUGGAGCACUGUGUAGUAGUGCGUUGGGAUCCAUUGUUUACCGAGUAAGAUCCGAUGAUCAGGUUUCGAAGUCGCUGUUUCGUGGUUGGUUUAUCUGA